rnacentral:rRNA from 1 species
UACGUAGGAGGCAAGCGUUUGUCCGGAAUUACUGGGCGUAAAGCGCGUGUAGGUGGUGGGACAAGUCUGCUGUGAAAGCGCCUGGCUUAACCGGGCGAGGUCGGCGGAAACUGUCCGACUAGAGGACGGUAGAGGGGGGGUGGAAUUCCCGGUGUAGUGGUGAAAUGCGUAGAGAUCGGGAGGAACACCUGUGGCGAAGGCGGCCCCCUGGGCCGGCCCUGACACUGAGACGCGAAGGCGUGGGGAGCGAACGGG